GACGAACGCUGGCGGCGUGCUUAACACAUGCAAGUCGAACGGAAAGGCCCUGCUUUUGUGGGGUGCUCGGGUGGCGAACGGGUGAGUAACACGUGAGUAACCUGCCCUUGACUUUGGGAUAACUUCAGGAAACUGGGGCUAAUACCGGAUAGGAGCUCCUGCUGCAUGGUGGGGGUUGGAAAGUUUCGGCGGUUGGGGAUGGACUCGCGGCUUAUCAGCUUGUUGGUGGGGUAGUGGCUUACCAAGGCUUUGACGGGUAGCCGGCCUGAGAGGGUGACCGGCCACAUUGGGACUGGGAUACGGCCCAGACUCCUACGGGAGGCAGCAGUGGGGAAUAUUGCACAAUGGGCGGAAGCCUGAUGCAGCAACGCCGCGUGCGGGAUGACGGCCUUCGGGUUGUAAACCGCUUUCGCCUGUGACGAAGCGUGAGUGACGGUAAUGGGUAAAGAAGCACCGGCUAACUACGUG
rnacentral:rRNA from 1 species